rnacentral:tRNA from 1 species
CAAAGGGUAGUUUAAUUAAAAUUUUAAUUUUGGAGAUUAAAGAUAAAUUUAUUAUUUUCCUUUGA